rnacentral:misc_RNA from 1 species
UCGGAGUAACGUUAGCCGUCAAGUAGCGAGAGUCGACGUUCGAGUGGACGCGCGGGCGACGGGCCAUAAAAGGGAGAUCGCGAGAGUGCCGGGUGCACAGUCGCGCACCGUCUAUCCGCCGGUACGGUACGCGCGGCAACGUAUUUGGUUCUCCGGUACAACUUGGCACGAGAAGCAACAGUUAUGCCCUCGAGAAUUGUUGCACCGCUGGCCGUCGACCUGCUGCACUGUUGAACUGUCGUCGCGCGUCUACGUGCGUACGUAUGGCGUAUGGCUUACCCUAUGGCAUGGCAUCGCGGAACAUCGCGGAACUGUGCAUCCUUGUCGCCGCCUUCCUCCACGUCAGUCUCGGUCAAACGCAGUCCAAGUCCGAGAUCCUGCCCGAAUUUCUGGCACUCCUGGAAAACCACACGGUCACUCAAGGUCGCGACGUCUCCUUCACCUGCGUCGUUAAUCAUCUUCAGUCUUACAAGGUCGCCUGGAUAAAGUCGGACUCGCGUGCGAUUUUGGCCAUUCAGACGCACAUGGUAGCGCACAACCAGCGUCUGUCCGUCACUCACAACGGCCAUAACACAUGGAAGCUGCACGUGACUAACGUUCAGCCGAACGACUCCGGCGCGUACAUGUGUCAAGUUAAUACGGAUCCUAUGAGGAGCCAGACCGGUUACAUGAAAGUCGUGAUACCGCCAGACAUCAUGGAUCUGGAUGACACGGCGGAUCUUCUGACCACCAAGGAGAACGGCGAUCUGCGACUGCGGUGUCGAGCCACCGGCACCCCGGAACCGGUGGUGAUCUGGCGCCGGGAGGACGGCCGGAACAUCACUUUGAGGAAUGAGCACAUUGUCAAGCGAACGCGAUCGUACGAGGGCGAGCAGCUUCAUCUGAGGGGUGUUCAGCGGCAGGAGAUGGGAUCUUAUCUCUGCAUCGCAUCGAACGGAGUGCCGCCGUCGGUCAGCAAGAGAUAUUACGUCAAUGUCCGUUUCAAACCGCUGAUUAAAGUCUCAAACCAGUUAGUAGCGGCGCCCGUCGACAGUGACGUUCUUCUUCAGUGUUACGUGGAGUCCUCGCCGAAGGCUUUGAACACAUGGUACAGAAAUGGAGUCAAAUUGUUGGAGGACGAGAAGCAUGACAUAUCAGAAGUAACCAUCAAUGAUUACGCAUAUCAGCUAAAUCUCACUGUUAGAUGUCUGGACCGAUCCGAUUUCGGCACCUAUAUAUGUUCCGCUGAAAACGCUUUCGGCAAAGCGGAAGGGUCUAUAAGACUACAAGAGUUGCACAUACCCAGACCAACGAUAGCUUCCACGCGCAAUACGGACGUCGUCGAGAAGCAUACCUGGCGGAAGCAAACUGAUAUGAUGAAGAAAGGGAAGAAAUAUUCAUACGAUAAAUCGGAACUAAAUCUGCCGCCAAAGAACAUGAGUCACACCACGCCGAUGUCCAGGAGGAACGCGUCGAGCUCCUCGCCGAAUAUCGCGAACAAGUCGAGGAUCUCCGCGUUUCCGGCGUCAGCGCCCGCACACUCGGCGCCGACACAGCUGGGCACUCAGAACGGCGUUACCUCUUCACGUGAUUCUCGGUUGUGUCUCGUCGCGACUAUCUUGGUGAUCCUAAUUUACGACUAAAAUGGAGAACAAAGUAUUUAAUGAAGGAAUAAAUUGUUUUAUUUUGAAGCAGGUUGUGUCUUCGUCGUGAUUGCGAUGACUGAACCACGUAGGAUAAAAUCAUGUUUGAUUGAUAUUGAAAUUUUUGUUCUGUUUUGUUUUUUAUUCAGAUAUCACAGGAAUUUGAAUAGAAAUACGAGAUCCACAUCGAGAACGUCGAUAUUUUGCUGUAAAUAAUGAAACAUUUUUAUGACAAUAAAUGUAGCUACGUAUAUUCGAGAAGUAGACGAUCACACGCUGUUAAAAACGCUUGUAACUGCCACCAUUAUAUCCACGAUAUAUUUAAGAGAAAUUGAUUGAAGUGGAUUCAUUCGCCUCUAGGGACAGCUGUAUUUAUCUCUUAAUGAGAGUUGUGACAUUCGUGUAUAUAUGUAUGACAAUAAAUGUUGUUUCUACUAUCAUCCGCAGGGAUUCUUUUCCGGGAUUUUUCUCGAUUCUUCAGGAUGUUCCGGCGUCUU